rnacentral:lncRNA from 1 species
ACAAUCUUACUUCCAUUAUCAAAAGUUUCUUGUACACUAUGCACAGUAGCAUCGGUCAAAAAGCAUAGACCAAAUAUCAAAGUUGGAGAGGCUGUAAGGAAACAGAAAAGGGCAAGUUACACAUUUGACAGGCUGGCCAAAAUAAUUGCAUCGGCUAGCAAAUAUACAAGUAAUUUUUCCAAUAUACCAAAAAUAUAUUGGGAAUAUACAAAAAAGAUACAUUUUGUCGGCUAUUAUUUUUUAGAACGGCUACGUUAUAUAGUUUUCCCAAUUGAGAAAACCAGAGAAUCCCUCGAGUGAUGAUGAAAUAGAAGUUGUAAUUAACAGGACAUUAGAUCUUGAUUUGGCCCUUUGAGCCCCUUCUGUUGUAUCUAAUCAUUGUAAGUUCAGCUCCAUCACAUUGUUAAUUACCUCAUGAUUUAGCAGUUAAUUAAUCAAGCAAAGAUUUAUCUUCUCUGUGUUAUAAUCAUUUAAUUGUAUUUAGUGGUUCUAUCUUGCUAUAAUCGUUAAUUUCGUCUUGUUUAUGAGAUAAGAAGGAAACUACUUGAGCAAGUACUUAUUUUGGUCAAUAGGAUUUAAGUAUCAUCCUAACCUUGCUGUUCAUUUCAUAUCUCUCGAUUACACAUUUUUAUGCCUUUUUGUUCAAACUUUUGGAAAAUGAGUGCUUACUUUUCAAACAAAAAAAAAA